GGACCCGUGGGGUAGUGGAUUAUCCUUCCGGCCUUCGGAGCCGGGGAUCCGGGUUCGAAUCCCGGCGGGUCCGCCA
rnacentral:tRNA from 1 species